ensembl:lncRNA
GUUUUGCCUUUCCCCUUUAAUGGUUUGUAAGAACGUAAAGCCCGUGACAAAAGCCACUACCAUGAGAAACAGGGAACAGGUGGUCAUCGCUGCGUCCCCCGGCCUUGGCCCACAGCAUUGGAAUCAGCCGGCGGGUUUAGGUCUUGUACUAGCCUUGGAAUAAGAGAUUGGGGAUUCCAGCUCUCACAGGAAAUCGUCUGUCGGCGCUUGUUGGCGAAGGACAGAUCGGAUGCGCGGGUUGACAACGAGGCCUUGGAUUCGGCCAGUUCCACUUCCACUCACCCCCAACCAGCCGUGGCCCCCACGUGUUCGGACCCACACCUUGAGCAGGCAGCCGUGAAAUGGGGCCCUGUCUGGGAACUGUUGGCAGGCCGGAUGGAAACAGCAAAAGCGUGGUCCUCGUUAGCUGGGAUGACGCUAGCUAGCCCGUCGUCUCUGGGGAGCAUGCUUGGCUGCUGCUGCUGCUGCUACUGCCGGGAGGCCGAGAAAAGGAAAGGUGAAACAUAACCAGCUCUGGGGCCAAGGAUUAAAUCAGAGACAGCUUAUCAGCAGCUGCGACAACAACCGCCGACCUCCAGGUCACCCAACCCACUGACCUAUUCUGACCAGGGAGGCCGGACCACAUAAUUCUCUUGACCCCCAACGCAUCCCUCCCC